rnacentral:lncRNA from 1 species
UAGGAGCCAAUUAGUAUCCCAAAAUGUUUUUUUUUCCUUCUUACUCCAUUAACAUGACAAUUCAGAAAGACGCUAAAUUAUUUAUUUCUUCAUUUUGUCCCAUUCGCUUUCUUAUCAUUUGUGUGCUAUGCAUGAUUUCGUAAUUAGGUGAACUCUCAGAAGAUAAUAUUGUACAAAGCCUUGAUAUUCUCAAGAAUUUAUAUUACUAGAAGGUGAUAAAUGGAAGAUACUUUCAAGCCAUGAAUUCAUAGAGGCGCAGGUCAGAUAACGAAGGUAUGCACAUUUGUACAUGUACUUGGGAUAGUACCUGAAUCGGAUUUAACUAUUCACAGAAAAAUCUAACAUGUUGAACUAACAGUUUAUCUACCUAAGGUGAAUCUGAGUUUGUUUUUCCAGAAUUCAUAGGUACAUUACAUUCUCACACUGCAUCUUCUUGUCUAGAAGGUUAGGAUGGCCGGACAAUAUUUGUGGAUACAAUUUCAGGCAGGCAAUAUGCAAAGAAAUGUAAAUUACACCGUCUUAUACGUAUGGAUGUGUUAUUCAAAGGUCUCUAGGUUGAGAAAAAUUACCACCUGAAGCCAUAGGAUCCUGAUUCUUAGAAAAAUCUCAAGAAUUAUUAAGUGAUGCUCCACAAAUCUGAAAGAAAACAGUUGAAAAGAGGUAACUAGUUCUAAUGCAACCAAACCUCUGAAAUGUAUCUACCCAAGUUUUCUUCAAGAGGCGAAAGAUUCUACUUCAAAAACUUUCCGUUCUCGACAAAUCAGAAGCAAUCACACGAAUAACCUUUUUUUCAAAAACAAAGACAAAAAUUGCCCAUGCGCACUCAAGUGAACCAUCAGCCAACCACCUUAGAAUGAUCAAUUUUAGAUGGUCAUUUACUUCGUAUCAUUCUUUUGUUGUUAUGCCCAUGAACGCAAAACUACUUCUUAGUUUUUGUUAACCAAAGUUGGUGAAGAGUAUCAUUACCUUGUCUCAUAAUGUAAAUCAGAAACCGAAAAACCCAAGUCAAGAAAAAAGUUUGCGUCUAGAUCAGUGAGUGAGUGUGCAGACGGGCUCGCAUCAGCUGAGCAAGAAAAAACCCGCAUAACAAGUUACUAUUUAAAGAUACUACUAGUUUUUUUUCCAAAGACUCUGUGCUCAGUUGUGUGGUUCUGCAUAGAACUGGAACAUAUACAGUAUCCCGACCUCAAGAUUGCUUGGAACCUUCUUGAUUGCUUAAGCCAGAGUCGAUGAAAAUUUCCAUGAGACACUUCCUUCAAAUUGCUGUUUUUGAGCUCAGCAAUAAUAGUUGUAUAUCCAGCGAUAAUCUAAACAAAUUUGUGCUUCUAGUAAAACUAUAACACUCAAAGGUCUCGCAGACAACGUAGCAAAGAAGCAGUGUUUCAUGGAUCACAAAAAGGAAGAGGAGUGAUGAGAGCACACAAUCUAAGCAAACUCUACUUUGACAAUUCCUCUGAGACAUCAGAGCAUACAAUGUCAUGACAACUAGCGUUUCAUAAAUUGUGUUAAAAAUAGUAUGAGCUUAGCUAAGGUAUCAUUCAGAUCACUCCGCGUUUACUCUGCCAAUAGCUUUCUGGAAAUGAAUAAAGUGUUCUGAAAAUGCA